rnacentral:lncRNA from 1 species
AACCAACUAUCUAGAACUUUAAUCACAAACUAUUUUGGCUAAAUUACAUAAAACCCCCAGUCAAUACUCACUUUUUCAUUUUUUCCAACUGUCAUUUAAAAAUCUAUAUUUUGCCCCCUUGUAAAAUAAAAAAUAUUCACUUCACUACCUACCGUUAGUGCUCUCCAUUAGGGUUCCAUUUAUAAAAUACUAUUAUAUUUUUUUUUUAUACAAAAAUUACUCUCAGCCUCCUUUUCUCAACGUUGCCGCCUAUUUCCUCGCCGCCUCGCCCUUCUUCGCUGCCUCACCCUCGCCCACAUCUUUGUUCGCGCCCACAAACACCUCCUCGCCCUACUCCUCCGCCUCGCCUACGCCGUCGCUUUUUCUCACUUCUCCAUCCACGCCCAUCUCGAUUUCCUCCCUACUGUCACCGAAAGGGAGGGGCGACGAGGGUGCAGGAGGAGAAGGGGAGAAGAUAGAGAAGAAAAUGAAGACUAACAACGGGCAAUCAAGACGUGAAAAAUAGAAAAUGAGAGGCGGCAAAUGAGCAAGAUUGGGAUGGAGAUGGAGAUGGUAAGGGCCAAAUUAGUCAUCAUAUUUUAACACCAAACUCUCCUGUGAAUAUUUUUCAUUUUACAAGGGGGCAAAGUGUAGAUUUUUAAAUGACAGGGAGGAAAGUGAAAAAGUGAAUAUUGACAGAGGAGUUUUAUGUAAUUUAGCCAACUUUUUUUUCCUCACAUUCUAUCUACAAUGAUAUAAGAUUGGUGAAUUGAGUAUUUGUACUAAUUUUAAUUUUUGUUUGCUUUUGUAGGAUGAAUAUUGUCUGAUGCUAAUUUGGUGGAAAUCCUGAAGCAGUUGAGUUCUAUUUAUAUAACUCUUUUUAUCACAUUUUGUCUAUGGCUACAUAUGCAUUACCAGAAGGCAUACUUUUCAACUGAAAGCAAUAUAUACACUAUAAGAGUAGAGUAAUGCAUUUAAAGACCUCAAUAAUUCACUGCUAAUUUAAAAGUGAUUAAAUUUUCGUUUGUUCCUAUUAUUCUCACUUAUACAAUAGUAGAGAAUUUUUUAUUUCUUGAUUGGGAUUAGCAUUGUUGAUUGAAGUUUAUUACUGUUGAAAUAUUUAAAAAUUUAUUGUUCAUUAUUGUAAAGUUUUCGUAUUGACGUGUUUAUUUGGUAUUUCAUAAUUUACAUAUAAUUUGGUGUAUCGGCAGUUUGUCACGCCCCGGAGCCGUUUUAGAAGCCUUUUUAUAAAAAAUACUAUUUUUAGAAACGAGAGUAGCGAAAAACGUGCCUUUUUUUAUUUCCACAUGGCCCACGUGGCAUACAGACCCGCAACAAAUAUAAAGUUCCUGACCACACGGACGGAGUCCCUUUCAUAUUAGCACGGCAUACCAAUAACAACACCAGGAUCACAAUAACAACCUACAUUUACCAAUCCACAAGCAAUUUAUGCGAUAUAUUUUCAUAUAGCUAACGAUCCUUAGAGAUGAUGCAUGUCUCUAAACACUUAUUAGGCGCGGGAUGAUGCGAUGCACAAUACAACAAUCAUCCUAUUUAAAAAUGCUCCCCAUCCGGAAACUUUAUUUUUAAACUUUAUUUAAUCAUCUAUAAAAAUCAUUCGAAAAUCUUUUAAAACUAUUUUUCACUCGAAAACUCCAUUUUUGAAAACCGACUAUCUCGAUAGGUAGAAAACCACAACGUAUAAAUCCAAAUACCAAAGAUCUAUAAAGCUUCGAUUGCGUGCAUAACAGAGAUCACCAACUCAUACAGGUUUACGACUAUUCAAACAGUAAUAGUGAUCAUCUAACUGAACCAUUUAUUAUUUAAAUUACUAAAUGU